rnacentral:rRNA from 1 species
UACGUAGGGUGCAAGCGUUAAUCGGAAUUACUGGGCGUAAAGCGUGCGCAGGCGGUUAUGUAAGACAGAUGUGAAAUGCCCGGGCUUAACCUGGGAACUGCAUUUGUGACUGCAUGGCUAGAGUUUGGCGGAGGGGGUAGAAUUCCACGUGUAGCAGUGAAAUGCGUAGAUAUGUGGAGGAACACCGAUGGCGAAGGCAGCCCCCUGGGUCAAGACUGACGCUCAUGCACGAAAGCGUGGGGAGCGAACAGG